GACGAACGCUGGCGGCGUGCUUAACACAUGCAAGUCGAACGGAAAGGCCCUGCUUUUGUGGGGUGCUCGAGUGGCGAACGGGUGAGUAACACGUGAGUAGCCUGCCCUUGACUUUGGGAUAACUUCAGGAAACUGGGGCUAAUACCGGAUAGGAGCUCCUGCUGCAUGGUGGGGGUUGGAAAGUUUCGGCGGUUGGGGAUGGACUCGCGGCUUAUCAGCUUGUUGGUGGGGUAGUGGCUUACCAAGGCUUUGACGGGUAGCCGGCCUGAGAGGGUGACCGGCCACAUUGGGACUGAGAUACGGCCCAGACUCCUACGGGAGGCAGCAGUGGGGAAUAUUGCACAAUGGGCGGAAGCCUGAUGCAGUAACGCCGCGUGCGGGAUGACGGCCUUCGGGUUGUAAACCGCUUUCGCCUGUGACGAAGCGUGAGUGACGGUAAUGGGUAAAGAAGCACCGGCUAACUACGUG
rnacentral:rRNA from 1 species